CUUCCUUGUUAUCACCAUCUUCCUCCGUCUCUCACUUUCUUCCCAGACUCCCCAACGCCACUAGACUCAAUGUAGCCUCACGGAGCAGAGUCGCCACCGUCGUGGCGUCAUCCGUCACCGACCUAGCCGGCGUGGACAGCACGACUAUCGCCGUACUCGGAGGCGGAUCCGUCGCAGCUCUGGCGACGUUCGUUUCGCUGACGGAUCCGGAGAGGAGGCGGAAGCUGCAGGCGGAGGAGGUCGGAGGAGGAGACAAGGAGGUGGUGAGGGAGUAUUUCAACAGCACGGGUUUCGAGCGGUGGAGGAAGAUCUACGGCGAGACUGACGAAGUGAACCGCGUGCAGAAGGAUAUUCGAGUCGGCCACGCCAAGACGGUGGAGAAAACGAUGCUUAUGCUGACGGAGGAAGGAUCGUUGGAUGGUGUCACGGUGUGCGACGCUGGAUGUGGAACCGGGUUGCUCUCGAUACCGCUUGCUAAGGAAGGGGCGAUCGUCUCUGCUAGUGAUAUUUCUGCAGCUAUGGUUGCAGAAGCUGAGAUGAAGGUGAGCUUUGGUCUAAGUUAUGAGCAUUCGGUCUAAUGAAAUUCAAUUCAGUUUAGGUUUAGUUUUGUUUCUUUCGGUUUGGUUCAGAUAACAUGAUUGAGAACCGGCUAAUAUCUAUAAAAAAUUCAGUCCAACUCUGUUCCUGUUUGGUUCUGAUUCUGUUUUUGAAUAAUUUUUGAUAAUUCGAAGAAAACUGUUAAUAUAAUUCAGGUUUUUAGUUAAAAAUAUCGGAUAAUUCAGGUUAUUCCGAUUAAAAAUACGAGGUAAUUCGGAUAAUUUCCAUUUUUUUGCAUUCUUGAUUAUGAUCCUUUUCUUGUUAUUAACCGAUUUCAAUAUAUGUACAGGCAAAGCAGCAGCUAGGAGGAGAGAAUCUACCAAGAUUUGAAGUGAAUGAUCUAGAGAGCCUUAGCGGGAAGUAUAACACAGUGGUGUGCCUAGACGUGCUGAUACAUUACCCUCAGAACAAAGCAGACGGGAUGAUCGCACACCUGGCUUCUUUAGCAGAGAAGAGAGUGAUUCUGAGUUUUGCACCAAAGACAUUCUACUAUGAUAUCUUGAAGAGGAUUGGAGAACUUUUUCCAGGUCCUUCAAAGGCUACAAGGGCUUAUCUACACGCAGAAGCGGAUGUAGAAAGAGCAUUGGGUAAGGUUGGCUGGAAAAUCAGCAAGAGAGGACUCAUUACCACCCAGUUUUAUUUUUCAAGGCUCAUUGAAGCUGUUCCCAUGUAGGUAGGUCAUUCUUGUUCAUAUGCUGAUGAUUCUUUAGUGAUGGAUAAGGAACUAUGCCGUCAGGGCAAAACUUACUCAAGAGAUUUUCACAAUCUUCUUGCACUCUGAGGGUGGUCACUACAAAGAUGCACUUCUUCAGGCCACCCAGUUCAUGGUUCUUCAACUGUUUAUUGUAAUCAAUGUUAUAUGUAACUUUACUGUAUGCUCAAAAUCCUUGCAGAAGAUUUGCUACAAUCAUAUUAAAGGUCUCAAAUCAGAUGAAAAUUCUCCAUACCUAGAUGCUCUUGUUAGUCUGAUGAGUUGUGAAAAAUUAAUGUAUAUUUUUUUUUUUGAAAUCACCUCUUACUAAAUCUAAAAGUUCAUAUUUUGACAAAAAGGGAUAAUUGACAAUGUAUUUUUGUAUGUGUUAGUUUUUUUGCUCUCUUUUUCAAAUGAGAAGAAUGAUUGUUGAUUGUAUUUGUAUUUGUGCAAGAAAAAAUACACAAACAAAAAUAGAGAUGACUAGUUUAAACUAAAUUAAAAAGCUCUUAAACACACACUUCGUUCUUUACAUAAUCACCACAAGUUUUAUUCAGAAAAGAAGAAUAAACUAACCACACAAAUUAAAACUUUAAACUCACAAACAUAACACGCUUACUUUCACAAUAAGUUCAUGAUCUUGUUUGUCAUCAUGCUUAAUCAGGGGUAUAAGCUUCAUUGUCCUUAAUUAGAAGUUCUCUUUGUGGAAGGAGAAUCUGAUCUUCGUCUUGUGUGUAAAUUCCAAAGCUAGACGCCUUAACUCCUUUGUCAAUACCGGUGAUCCACAAUAGAACACUCCUGCACGAUUAUAUAUACAAUUCCAUGUUUAAUUAUAUCAUAACCACUUCUUCAUAAUCAUUACUUAAAUCAUAUGAUGAUAAAUGCUAGUGCCAUAUGAAGAUAAGAUGUAGCUUAGUGCUUGAUUUGACGUGUGCUUGAGAGAGAGAGAGAACUUACCAACAUUAGUGCCAUCUGGAUGAUCCAUGGCUAUCUUGUUGUACACUUCUUCCCAAUUAGGUUUGGCGAAGUGGGACUUGACCCUUGUCUCAGAGACAAUGUCCUUACCACUCUUGGCAUAAGCUAUAGACUGAAGCAUACGUAUGAGGGUUGAGCGAGCGUCAUCUUUUUCGAAUACGCUAGUGCAAUAGUUAUGUAGCUCUAUGAUUUUGUUUACGUCACGUUCUGCGAUUUCGUUCAUGAUGUUCUUGAACCAAUCAUACGAGCCCUGCUCCCUCGUUACCCAGUAGAAGUAAGCUCUCCGCGUCUUGAAAUUUUCGUUUUUGUCUUGUGGCUUCCUUUGCAAUCCAUUCUCCAUUUGGUGGAGUUGAGCGUUUUCCAUGGCAUACAUAUUGUUGAUAAUGUCCUUAAUAAUGCUGAUCAUCGGAGUGGCACCGAUCCCAAGACCGACCAGCAAAACCACCUCGUACUUCUUGUAGUCUUGUGCUGGUGCACCGUACGGACCAUCAAUCAUAAUCUUGGGGUAACUGUGGAAUAAUGGUCGUGGAAUUUCAAAAUUAACAACAUUAACUUCUGCUAGGUAGAUUAGUUUCCAAAAAUAAACAAACAAACAAUCAACAUGCGACGUAUCUCUAACCGGAGGUGGUUUAUCACCAAUCAAAUGGUACGUUUAAAUAUUAAAAUAGUUAGUCAUUUACGUUUAGAUGUAUCUGUAUAAAAUUGUACUGUCAAUCAUUUUUAUCGGAUCGUUGGAAAGUACUUACUCGGGAUUAUGUGCACCAUGCGACGUAUCUUUAACAGGAAGUGGUUUAGAGAUCACCUGAGACACAACGCAACAUAAUUCUCAAACCAUCUUUCCUCAAUUAAAGAUCUACAAAAUAUAUAAUAUUGAGUGAUAUAGAAAUAAAAAAGACCUCAGAGAAAACUCCUUUAAUAGCCUUUGUCCAAUCUCCGUUUACUUUUAUAUGUACGCUCAAAUAGUCGUCUUGUGGUGCAGAAGUUAUUGAAAAUGGAUGCCUGUAGUGAUAUAUAUCAUCACAUGAAUCAAUAUUGAAAUGACUAUGAAUCUUACUUCUUAAGAGUGUUUUCUUAGUACCACUCAAAUGGUGAGACUUUUGGGCAGUUUACAAAAAUGUAUUGACCGCUUUUGUAUUUGAAGUGUUUAGGCCUUGACAUUUUCAAUGUCAAUACGUUUCCAGGAUAAACCGCAGCGUUAACAACUUUUACCGUCAUGAUGCUGGAUCUGAAUGCUCGUAUCAGUCUCUCGCAUGCAUAUAGAGCUAUUGGCACUGCUAAAUACAUCCACGUCUACAAAAAUACCCUUGAAUUAAUUAGUGACAUGAUUCUUGGUCGCUGAGAUUACAACUGAAUAAUGUUGAAACCUCGAAAUACUCACCGUUUUCUUGUACCAUUCUUUACUGAGAUACAGGUAGUAUCCGUGGACGAUAAGGAGAAUGUAGACUACAACGAACAAGUGAUGAGUGUACCAGAAGGCAUUGAAGCUAGCGAGUUUUUUUAGUGGCUUUGGAAGCGUUUUCUCUAGCUUCCCUCGUCUAAACCAAGGCAGCGCUAGUGUAAAAGCAAUUGCCAUCAAGAGAACCAUUAGGAGUCCUGUUAUGUUGACUUCACAAAGUGUGAGUAUCUCUUAGGUUGCUCCUCUCCGAAGUAUUUUCCUAAAGGCUUUGUAUUCCUCUGGAGUUGCUGCGAUCAGCCGUGCAAAAUCGCAAGCCAAGUGAGCGAUCGAGUGUAUGCCUACUCCUAUCGUAAUUCCCACUGCUAUAACCUGUAUAGGGUUAAGUGUAAUGUAACUAUAAAUGUCAGAGAUAUUAUAGCAUCUAAACUGGUAUGAUUUUUAUAACCUGGCAAGUAUACAACAUGUAUAUUAAACAACAUCAAAGUGCAGUCGAUGAUCUCUGAUUCAUAUCGUUAAUUAUAAAGUAUUUCUCAACCACCCACUACCAUAUAAAGUUGGUUAUACAUAUUCUAUAAAAAGUUUGGUUUUACCUUAUGAAAGUUGAUGUUGUCAUCAAAAGGGACUAAAACACCAAACCUAGUCUUAUUUCUAAGCCAUGUGAUGGUAUUUCUGCAUACAGGUAACAGAAUCAAGGCCAUAUUCAGCUUCAACGUCUCGGCUGAACCUUUAGCAAAGCACACACAAUGCCCCAACACUUCAUAGACUGCUCUAUUUUUGUAUUGAAUAUAUUUGUAUGUGAAGAGGAUGGUCAUAAUGCUGAGCCAUAGCGCUAUCACCCAAAAUCUCUGCCAACUAUCUAGAACAAAGAAUCUGAGACCACGGUACCAUCUGCGUAACGGGUUAGGGUCUGGCGUAUGUUUAAGCUUCUCAAUGAGUUGCUUUGGAUCUUGACUACUUGUGAUUUCAGCUAGUGUUUCUGUUUCUGCUUUCAUAAGCAAAUUUUUAAGACUUUCUACCUGUUUUAAAUUCAGCAGAGUUAUAGAUAUUUAGCAGCAAAAUAUUUUUGAAAAUCAGUUUGGAUCAUCAUCAAGAAUGUUUACCAUGAUGUAUCCUAUAUUAUUUGGGUCAAGCUCUUCCAUGAUCAUUGCUGCAUAUUCAUCUGCCUUUUUCUGGAUGGCCGACAGAUUGUUGGUUGACGAACUAAGAUUAAUGACCUUCAAACAUAAAAAGACAGAGCACAGUCAAUAAUUAAAUAUUUUCAAAGAAAAUUAUUAAAUUUUAAUUGUUCGUUUUUUUUUCUUUUAUGUUAAUCAUGUCUUCUUCUUUUUUUUUACAUAUCAAAUGACCUUACAACAUUUAGCAUAAAUUUGUUUUUAAAUUUCACACACACACACAGACAGAAAAUAUAAGAUCAUGAAAAUGUUAUAAACUUUUCGCAUGUGAAUGCAGAUAGAUAUUAACGUCUAAAACAAUCAAGACCUCAUUGAUCUAAUUCUAAACACAUUUACCUGUUUAACUUCGUCUUCAGUUAGUCUACCAUCACCGUCUUUAUCCAUCCUGCAUUUCAGAAACCCUUUGUCUCAAACUUUAGAUUCAUUACCAGAAAAAAACUUGUGGAGACCGUCGAUCCAGGGGAAUAUGUAUUAACAAAAGAUCAAACUAAGUAAUGAUAAAAAAAACUUUUUUUUUGAUAAAGAAGUAAUGAUAAAAAAACUUACAUGUCAAAGAAUAUCAUAAGCCUUGAAUCAAAAUUCUGAUCACUUAUUUGUUCCCAGAAUUCCUUUAAAAUUGCCUUAUCAAUCACAUCCCCUGUCAUAUUCUUUCUUCUAGCUAAUGCGUCAAACAAUACCAAGGCAAAGUCCUUUGACUUCAUCCCUGCAACAUAUCAAUAUUUCUAAUUAAUUUAGUUUCAUAUAUCAAUGUUUUUAAACAAUACAACUCCUUGAUUUCACAUGCAGAUUUUUACCUAUACAUUCACCGAACUUUGACCUAAUCAGCAAUCCCUCAGUAGUUUUCGUGAUCGUUUCAAACCUCUCCUCCACGGCGGUCCAGCCAUCCCCACCGUCAGAUUUACUGAUGAACAUGAGCCCUUUCAAGGCCUGACCGGUCGUUGACUUCGACCGGUUCAACCGAGCUGGCUUCCCUGCAAACCGCUUGAUCUGGUUCACCAGGCCGUUCCGUUUCUUCUCCCGUUUAUCCCUUACGCUGGAUCCGUCCGUGUCUCCAGCGUUUUCCAUCACAGGAUUGUGAUCGGUCGACUGAAAUGAUCCGCUUAGGGGAACUAUGUCGCUGCUGUUCUUUUCCUCUGUGUCAGAAGUCAUAGUUCUUAACUUCAAAGCUCACUCUAUGCAAAGAAAACUCAUGUAAGUGACGAUUUCAACUGGAAACAAAACAGGACCAAGAAAAAAGAUGAGUAAACAGACUAAUAUAUUUCUUGUAUCUCACGUCAAUGCUCUGAAGAUCUUAUUGUGAAACUCUUUGCGACGUCGUAUGAGACAACUCGAGAUGUUCGCAUAAUGCUUUAUCUUAUGGGCUUCUUGUCAUAUAUAAAAUGGCGUUGGUCAGUAUUCAACGACGAGUAUAUUAUAAAAUGCACAAAAUAUAUUCCAACAACACGUCGAAACCUAGGUUGAACGGGAUACGCGGAAUUCAGAUAAGUAAAAAAAUAAGAGAGACGUGGACCGGUUUGGGCCCACGUUUUGUUGUUAUUUGCUAUUUUCUCAGCCAACUCAUCUUUGAUCCGCAUUAAUUGAAGACAGGAUACCAAAUGCUUUGUUCUUGAGACUGAAAACUAUUUUAAAAAAAGACCAAAUAAAAACUCUUCUUUUUUUUUUCAAAGACCAAAUACCCAAACUCAUAAUCACAAGUCACUGAUUUCACUGUCGAGUAUAUCUUAUAUAUUAUAACACACAAAGUAUAUUUCAACGCGUUACAACUAGAGGCGGACCCACAAAACAAAUCUAUAUAGUGGGCAAAAACCGAUGAUUUUAUGUUACACAAAUUACUAUAAUUUAGUCAUAUUCUAAAAUAUAUAAAUAAAACUAAAAUUAAAGCAUUUGUAUAAUUAGUAAGUAUUAUUUUAAUGCUAUUAACAUACAAUUGUAUAUUAUAUAAAAUAUUGUAUUUUUAUGAAUUUAUUUUAAUUAUAUAAAUUCAAAGAAAGGUAAUUUUUUUAACUAAAAUCGACGGAAACUGAAUAAAAAUAGAAAAAUUAAUCAAUGUCAAUUAAAAUCUAAAUUAUUGAUCUAGUGAAAUACUAAAAACGGAAGAAAAUAUUAAAAAGUAAAUACUAAGAAAAGACAAAUAUUGGUUGAGAUGUUAAAAGAAAAUAAAAAAGGUUUGUUUAGAAACCGAAAAAAUGCAAUAAAUGUAAUUACCAGAUUUAAGCCCACAUAAGUAGCACAGUAAAGCCUUCAAAAUUAGUUUAAUGAAUAAAUUAAAGCCUUGUUCUUUUGAAAUUAUCUACGACAAAUAAUCCAUGUUCUUAUAAAAUUCAGAAGUCAAUUAUAACUAAUUUUAUGACAUGCUUUUAACUUUUAAGGCUUUAAUUAUUCUCUUGUGGUAUAUUUAGAAAAUCGGAAUAAUAAAAUCUUUAAAAACAUAACUGAAAAUCCAAGAUGAGAUUUGGGGUGUAACGAAAAUAAAAAGUUCAAUAUGAGUUGAAGUAAAAAUUGAUGAUUUAAAAAUCCUUGAGGAUAAUAUUUCUAUCAAGUUGAUUCAAACUUCAAGAAAUAUCAGAUGUUUUAUUGAUGGAACCUAGAAAUAGAGCAAGAUAUUUUUCAAGUUAAGGAUAAUUUUGCAGCAAGAGGAACUCAAAAGAUUAUAUUAUGGGGAUAUAAAUAUCCAAAGAAGUUUGUCAUCACUACAUGUGAAAUGUGACGUGUUGAUAUGAGAUAUGAAGUUCAUGAAGAUCCUAUAUAUUUUGGAGAUAGUGUUUACAACAGAUAACUUUCAUUAGUGAAAAUGGUAUCUAUACCGAAUAAUUAACUGACUUUCACUAUACCUAUAAAGGAAUUCUAACUAUUAAGUGAUUCAACAUAUAUCAAAAGCAAAGAAUACUAUGACAGCCAAGUUUAGACACAUGUUCGGAGUGUAUCUUCAGCUAUGAUGCAUGUUAAUUUUGUACCAUCAGAUUUGGUUUUUCGAAUCGGUUAAUCUACUAAUAAUAGGAAUCCUGAUUAAUUUCAAAGGUUGUGAAUCCGACUUAUGUUGAAAGGUUGUGUCUUUUGAAAAAGAUGUGUAAAGGGUUGUGUCUUUUCUAAAAGUUAUAUGUUGUAAAGUUGUGUCUUCUCUAAAAAUUGUCUAAAAGUUGUGACUAUUCAUAAGUAUAUUUUAAAAAGUGGAAAGUUGUGACUAUUGGGAUAAUGCGACCAUUCAGAUUGAAGAGUUGUGACUAUUCAAAUAGAUUUUAAAAAUCCAAAGGUUCUGUGUGUUUCAUAAAAAAUUAAAAUCACUUAGUUUAAAAGUUGUAUCUUUUCAUUAUAAAAAUUGUGUAUUUUCAUAAAAAAUAAACCAAUUUUAAGUGAAGACUCACGAAAUGUUUUACGUCUUCUCGCAACCCUUUCCUUUGAAGAGUCUCUUUUUCAAACAACACACUUUUUCAAGAUCUUAUAUAUUGAAAUUUUUACAGCAUAAAUUUUUACUUAUUUUAUUUUCUCUUUUUAUAUAGCUCUUAUUCCUUCUCUGCGUCUAUAUGCUUCACCCAUCUAAUUUUCUAUCUUUUGAAAAUUGGAAUCAAUACGGUGAGUUUUAUAACUCGUUUUUUUAAGGAUUUUCGAGAAUUAGAGAAAUGAAGAAAAUGUAUUUGGCGGCUUCGGUUGCUUGUCACUUCUCCAAGUUUUCAUCUCUCGAAUGCACUACGUAACGUCCUUCUUCUUCUCUCUUCAGUCGAACUCAGAGCUUCAUUAUUGACCUGUAGAUAUAUAAUUGUAAUCCAUACGGUGUUUUUUUACUGGGGUUUUUAAUGCUUUUGAGAAGUAGAGAAAGAAAGAAGAGAGUUAUGGAGCAUCUUACCCUGUGAUGAACAUAGUGCCUCCGGUUGCUCGUCGCUCCUCCAAGUCUCCAUCUCUCGAAUCCAUUACGUAACUCAAAUAAGACCAAUAAUGGUGGCUUUCGAUGGCACGCCUUUCCUGUGGUAGUGGUGUCUGGUGACGACAAUGGUGGCACUUCCUUUAACCCCAUCAAAGCCGGAGAUGAAGAUAGGGAAGGAGAGAGUGAUCAUCAGAAUGGGAUAACAAUGGCAUCUUGGUACUUUUCACGAUCGAAUAAUGGGGUCUGGCAUUUAAGAGGAAAUGUAUAUAUGUUUAGUUGAAUAUUGUAGGCACAAUUUCUAAUUGUGUUAUGAAUUUUGAACACUGGAUGGAGAUCAUGUACACGUUUACGCAGAUAAUCUCUCAUAUUAACCAUUGCAGUGUUGAAAAGAGAAAAUUUAGUAACUGACAACAAAUACCCCAGACAAAAAUAGAGAUGGUAGUAGUUAUGAGAAAAACAAAAUUACCAUAGGAAAAAAACUCUUACGUAGAACAGAAGAAAAUAAGAAGAAGAGACGCCAAUUAACAUAUUUUUAUUUUUUCUCUAUGACUCGACAAAUUAUUUACAUAAACAUAACAAUGCUUUUCUAAAUGAUUGAAAACCCCCAAAAAUUUGUAAGAGUCUCAAUUUCUUAAAUUUUAUCUCUACACAAGUCGUCUAUAUUUAAACUGUCAACAUCCUUUCAUAAAAUUAAAAUAGACUCUUUGUAAAAGAUGCUUAAAUUGUAAAAAGUGUGAUAAUAAUUAUUUUAAUAAUAUGACUACUUAUUUCGAACUAAUAUUUCUGUAAAAGAUGUAUUAACAAUUUAUCAUAAAUUACUAAUAUGAAAACAUAUCUAUAUAUAAUAGCAAGAAAAAAAUGCUGAAUUUUUUUUGACACGUAUUUAGAAUGAUGAGACACAUUUUAACUAAUUAAAAGUUAUUAAGUAGCAUUGCAUUUAGAAAAAUGAAAAGACACAACUUACAGCCUAAGAAAACACAUCCCUAAAAUUUCAACUACUUUAUGUCAAUGAAGUACAGCCCCAUCGGUUUUAGAUUAGCACUAAGAAAGAGUUAUGUUAUAUUUUCCUAUUUUAAUAUACUUCCUCACUGUAUUUUAAAAAUUAAUAAAUUCCAAAAAAUUUAAGUACUACGAUUAAAAAUCCAACAACUCUGGUGCAAGCAAGAGAUGCCUUUGUAUAAGAUGUAUCUUUUUAUGUUAAAAAUUAUAUUGAGUUUUAAGAGAAAGUUUAUAAAGAAUUCUCAAAAUGUCUUAGGAUAUAUAUUUAAUCCUAAAAUUGGCAUAAAGUGUUAAUGAGUUAUCUUUUAGUUCAUUUUUAUAUCUAUUUUAUAUGCAUUUAAAAAAUAUUUAAAUUGGCUAAAAAUAUUUAGAUAAUCUAAUUUUGGAUAAUUUAGUUAUUUUAUAAUAUUAUAUAUGUAUAAAUCAUUCGAACUAUUAGAGAUAGUAUUCUUUAGAGAUUAAUUAUUACAACUAUGAUAAAUCUUUGGAACUAUUCAUAGUGGUAAACUUUAGAAUAAUAAAGUAUGAUUUAAUUGUUUUUAUAAAAUGAGUUCCCGUGCGGUAUCGCACGGGUGCUUUACCUAGUAACAAUAAGAAGGAUUCAGAUAAAAAAAAAAUUAGUAAUUCAGAUAAUUUAAGAUUCUUUGGAUUCAAGAUAGAGUUGUUAAGGAACUACAUUCUCGGUUGUGAAUCCUUCUUAUUGUUUAUUAACUGAUUUCAAUAUAUAUGCACAGGCAAAGCAGCAGCUAGGAGGAGAGAAUCUACCAAGAUUUGAAGUGGAUGAUUUAUAGAGCCUAAGCGGGAAGUACAACACAGUCGUAUGCCUAGACGUGCUGAUACAUUACCCUCAGAACAAAGCAGACGGGAUGAUUGCACACCUUGCUUCCUUAGCAGAGAAGAGAGUGAUUCUGAGUUUUGCACCAAAGACUUUCUACUAUGAUAUCUUAAAGAGGAUCGGAGAGCUUUUCUCAGGUCCUUCAAAGGCUACAAGGGCUUAUCUACACGCGGAGGCGGAUGUAGAAAGAGCAUUGCGUAAGGUUGGCUGUAGAAUCAGCAAGAGUCCAAGAGAGGACUCAUUACCACCUAGUUCUACUUUUCCAGGCUCAUCGAAGCUGUUCCCAUGUAGGUCAUUCUUGUUCAUAUGCUGAUGAUUCUUUACUGAUGAAUAAGAACUAUACCAUCAAUGCAAUAGCGGCCGACAAGAUUAUCAUAACUCUUCCUGCAUUCCGAAGGUGGUUUCUUCAAGCAUGCCCUUCUUCAGGGCCAGUUCAUAGUUCUUUCGCUGUUUAUUGUAAUCAAUGUAAUAUGUAACUUUACUGCAGGCUCAAAACUCUACAGAAGAUUUGCUGCAAUCAUAUUGAAGGUCUUAAACAAAUGUUGGACUGUCUCAUUUAGACUUACUAAUGAUACGCAAGUGAAUUUUGCUUGCCAUGACAGUAGAGAAUUACAGAGAAAGAUUACACGGAAGCGGGCAAAACAUCUACCUACUCCUGCAAGAUGAAGGAUCCUUUAAUUGGUUUAUCAAGGGUAGAUUGAGGAAAUAUAUUCAAAGGAGAGAACACAUUGUUGUUGGCGCUUGACGAUGACAUUGCCGGCUUAAACUCGUAAGGACCUUGCUUUGGUCCCACACCAGAAANNNNNNNNNNNNNNNNNNNNNNNNNNNNNNNNNNNNNNNNNNNNNNNNNNNNNNNNNNNNNNNNNNNNNNNNNNNNNNNNNNNNNNNNNNNNNNNNNNNNNNNNNNNNNNNNNNNNNNNNNNNNNNNNNNNNNNNNNNNNNNNNNNNNNNNNNNNNNNNNNNNNNNNNNNNNNNNNNNNNNNNNNNNNNNNNNNNNNNNNNNNNNNNNNNNNNNNNNNNNNNNNNNNNNNNNNNNNNNNNNNNNNNNNNNNNNNNNNNNNNNNNNNNNNNNNNNNNNNNNNNNNNNNNNNNNNNNNNNNNNNNNNNNNNNNNNNNNNNNNNNNNNNNNNNNNNNNNNNNNNNNNNNNNNNNNNNNNNNNNNNNNNNNNNNNNNNNNNNNNNNNNNNNNNNNNNNNNNNNNNNNNNNNNNNNNNNNNNNNNNNNNNNNNNNNNNNNNNNNNNNNNNNNNNNNNNNNNNNNNNNNNNNNNNNNNNNNNNNNNNNNNNNNNNNNNNNNNNNNNNNNNNNNNNNNNNNNNNNNNNNNNNNNNNNNNNNNNNNNNNNNNNNNNNNNNNNNNNNNNNNNNNNNNNNNNNNNNNNNNNNNNNNNNNNNNNNNNNGUAUCCGCGUCCUUUACUUUCCAAAAAAUAAAUAUUUUUCUUCUUGAAGAGAUUACACCUUAUCCAAUUAUUGGUUGCAUUAGGAGAAGCCAAAUUUUCUUUGUGUCUCUGAGCUGUGUAUCGAGCUACAUCUCCUUCAAUGGCUUCCCUAUCAACCAGUUCUCUAAGCUUCAAAGCUCCCUCCAUACAAUCUACCAGAACUUCUCAGGUGACAUUCUCCUCUGUAAACUCAAUCUUUAGUUUAUACAUAUAUAUCUAUUGUGACCAAUAAUGUUUAAAAGCCAUAAUCAAAUAACGCAAUUAUUCUUGAAUACUGUUAAUCAUCAGGUGUUAAGAAAACCCUUGAGUUUCCAGCCUAUCUCCUUUGGACGUUUUCAGUCUUCAAAGAACCUUCGUCUUCAGAUCAGUUGUGCUGUAAGUAAAAGAUUUAUUUGAACCUAAAGUUGAAUUCAUUAUAUGAGAAAUGCAAUAAGUUGGAUUGUAACGUGUUAGCUUAAUAAAUACAGGCAAAACCAGAGACGGUGCAGAAAGUGAGUGACAUUGUCAGGGAACAAUUAGCUUUGUCUGCCGACACUGCGCUCACUGCCGAGUCCAAGUUCUCUGCUCUUGGCGCCGAUUCUCUUGACACCGUAUGUUAUACCCUCUCCCCCUUUUCAUGUUAACGUGAUGUUUAGGCCAACCAUUACAGUACCCUUAAUGGUUUUGUAGCCCUAAUGGUUUGUUAUUAGUUAAUUGAGUACUCGCUAACAUUUUGCCGGUUGGAUAUGGAUGUAGGUGGAGAUAGUGAUGGCUUUGGAGGAAAAGUUUAACAUAAGUGUGGAGGAAGCUGAUGCUCAGAACAUUACGACUAUUCAAGAGGCAGCUGAUUUGAUUGAGGAUCUUGCUCAGAAGAAACCUGCGGCCUAAGCUUCCUAAACUAUCCUGGUUUAACACAAACCGGCUGUCUUUUUCUUCUCCUCCUUUCUGAGCUUUCUUGGUUUCAGAUCAUUUACUUUUUGUUUAUUAGACCAUGCUAUUAUUUUUUUUGUUUUCUUCUUUUGGAAAUUAAGAUUGGAUGUUGAUGAUGAGAAAACUUUGGUACGUUGAGAUUGAUUCUUUGUGGUGAUUGGUCUUUCAUGAAGCAUAUAUAAUGUGUCUUUUUGUCACUGCCACCUGAAUUGAGCUUGUCUACUCCUAGGACAUGACAUGGCUUUAUCAGUUAGUUAUAUCUAACUUUCCUCAAAGAUUGAAAAGAAGAGUUGAUUUAGGGUAACGUAUAGAGAAUAUGGAACAAAUAUAACCUAAGGUAUGUCAAAAACAGUUUAUGUAGUAGUGUCUAUUCAAAAUAAACUUAAAACUGCCAUGAAUUUUAGUUUGGCACAGGGAAUGAAGGUUAAUACUUUUGGAAUAGAGUUUCCAUUAAAAUUAGACUUGUACCUUUUGAAAUGAAUUUUAGUUCCUCUUGUUGGGGUUAUUCUGGGCUUCAUGAUCUUACUUGUUCCACACUCUUCAUUAUCUUUCCUUAACCCAAAAUCUAUUAAAACAUGUUUGAUUCGGUUUAGACAAAACCAAAAAAAAAAGACACAAAGGAGUCAGUGACCAUAUAUAUUGUCAAUAAUAAAGAAACUUGACUGUGAGUCACCCGCAUAACUGUGGGCCCCGUGAAAAUCGAACUGUAGAUCCUCCUCCAAUCAUGUCCAAAGGAUAAAGAUAACACUCAUCACUCCAAAGGCGCCAAACAGAGUAAGCAAGGCAAGGCCACACUUCUUCUGCUUCUAGAAUGCCGAUUGCUCCUUCCUUGUUAUCACCAUCUUCCUCCGUCUCUCACUUUCUUCCUAGCCUCCCCAACGCCACUAGACUCAAUGUAGCCUCCCGGAGCAGAGUCGCCACCGUCGUGGCGUCAUCCGUCACCGACCUAGCCGGCGUGGACAGCACGACUAUCGCCGUACUCGGAGGCGGAUCCGUCGCAGCUCUGGCGACGUUCGUUUCGCUGACGGAUCCGGAGAGGAGGCGGAAGCUGCAGGCGGAGGAGGUCGGAG
rnacentral:lncRNA from 1 species